rnacentral:rRNA from 1 species
GUCUACGUGCAUACAACUUUGAAUACCAAGAUCUCAUCUGAUCUCCGAAGCUAAGCAGGUCCAGGCCGGUUAGUACUUGGGUAACAGAUGCCUCAUGUAAUUUGCUAGACCUAGCAU